CUGGUGUGCGUCUGCUCCACCAUAGCCAGGGACAGAUGGCCAGCCUGCUACACUUACGAUUAUUUACUUUAGCAGUUACACCUCAGGAACACACCAGGCCACACGACCAUUAUUUUCUCCAGUGGGAUAAACUUGCUUGUGGUGAGGUCACCCAGAUAACUUGUUUAGAGGAGCCAAAACGGUUACAGCCAAUUGUCCAGCUCAGCAGAUUAUUUCCCCCUGGAGCAGAACACUGAGGCUCGCUUCCAUUUUCCUGUCUGUUGGAGUUCAAGAGGACGCAUCACUGGCUGAACAGAGGAGAACGUGACAUUUGAAGGAUGAGAGGCUCUUUUCAUACUGGCAACCGGAAACUUGCAAGCCUUUUUCAUUUCACUGAUGCACUUCAUAGGGGAAGAAGAAAGAAAAGAGUUGCAGAAAGAAAGAACAGUGCACAAAUGCACUAAACUAUAGUUCCUUUAGGGGUGCAUCCGCUUGUGGAACAUUGAAGCUUAUAGAAGUACCUAAAGGCUAUAGUUUGCUACAAUUUAAGGUCCUAAAAUGUACCUUUUAAGGUUUGAGAAGAUACAAAGUUGCCACAGUGGCACAUUGUUGUAUCCCUAAAGGUAUGUUUUGCAAAUUUUGUGUGAACAGUAUAAAAAGGAAGUUUGAAAGCGAGACAGAAAUGAAAAACUAAUCUAAAAUGGAGAUGGCUGAAGGGCAAGUAAGAUGCAUACUGGCUGCUUUUCCCUCAAACAAUCUCCCUUUAUCCUGUUUAUUAAUCAAUACUGCCACUGUUUCCACCCGGCAGCAGAGUUGUGUGUAGCAGACGGCUAAGACGGGGUUUUCAGGUGGCACGCCACACCAAAAACUUCCCAGCAUCCCUUCUGCUCAGCAAAUGAUGACGCAUCAUUCUGCUGACACAAGUCACCUGAUUGCUGUGUCACGGCAGUGGUUUUAGGCGAGUGGCAGCGCUCUGGCUACAGACGUAGAGUCUUUUUUUUCCUCCCAGACGCACUGCGGCACAGCCAGACGACUAGAGUGGAAGCACAGGAGCUCACAGCUGCAGUCGACUGGCUUGUUUCGGGGAGGCUUCCUUUCGAAAUACAGUCGCUGUGCUUCUCUCCGCCGUUAAAGGAUCAUUUUCAUCGGGGCAGAGCAAUCAAAGAGAGUAGAGCCAAGAAAGAAGACAAACUUUGAGUCAAGCAACUUGGAAUUACGCUCCGUCUCUGAAAUUUAGGAUAAGCAAGUCCAGAUUGUGAUUUUUGUCUUGUUUUGGACUGCUUAUGCCAGCAUCUUCAUCUCCAGACCAGGAUUCCAAGCUGCGAAGUCGGCGAUAAAGGAUUGCAGUGCGUCACCUGUCUGUCCCGUUAUAAACCUGUCCCAUUCGAGUCGUCCAGUCAGCCGGGCCCACUUGCAAUCCCACACACGGCGACCAGCCAAAGUGACCACUCUGCUCCAAGGUUAAGGUGGUUUUCAAUCCUAGACAUAGUCCUUGUCCAGAGGGCAGGGCAGAGUCAAACAGAAGCAGCGACGCAGCAGCUGAGCUGAGCUCAGCCAGACAGACGCGGUGACCUAAAUCAGCCCCAGUCAUGUCUGGACGCAGCCAAAGCCAGAGAGACGAAGAGGAAAACGAGCGAGAGAGGCAGAGCGCAACCCACACGUACUGACUUCAACAUAUACACGCACUAUGGGAUGGAGAGAAAUGGAGGAGGCUGUAAGGGGAGGGGGAGACAGAGUUGUCUCUCUCUCCCUCUCUCGCUCUUUUCUCCACCGCUUUAUUUCGUUCAUGUUCACAGCGCUGAUCUUCACCGUUGCUGCAGAGCGAAACGUAGAGUCGUGUCCCACUCAACCUCCCCCGUUUGCACUUUUGGGUACAGUAAACGGUGGGAUAAAAGACGGGCUGAAGUGAGUUGGUCAGACGGGCCUUGCCAAACCCACAGGCUGUUUCUGCCGCUCUGCUACCGCUGCGCUGUUUUUGAUGUGAGCCACAGUGCAGAUGCAGUGUUUUUUGGGCGAUCACCAAUAAGCUACCGUACUGGAGGAGAUGCUGGUAAAGUACGGGAGACCUUUCAAGAAAGCGAAUGCUGCUCCGGUGUGUCAUAGUCUAAGAGGGAUGCUUGGAGGAUGAAGGAAAAUCCAGUUUUUCUGUCAAUGGAAAAAAAGCGAAUGCUGGUCUGGUGUGCCAAUAUUCGUGAGGGAUGUUUGGAGGUUGAAUGGGAAACCCAGUUUUUCUGUCAUUGGAGAGUAUGUGAAUGCCUAAAUGUAAACAUUUAUGUUGUUGGGGAACUUUCUGGAAACUUUUGUAAUUUGUUGCUCCCCAAAGUGUGGGAUGUUAUUUAAAGACUCGAUAUACUUCAAACAAAAUCAAAGAAUGAAUUGAAAUGACGUCAUUUUGAAUAAAAUCUGUGUGAAUAGCCAAUAUUUUUGAGUUCUUUUCAGCAGUUUGAAACAGCUCAUCAAAGUACAUUUUAAGGAGAAUUAAUUUUGGCUUUUAAACACAUUUUAGCUACCAUUGGUCUGUGGUGAUUAUGCAUUCAGUGGGCUUGUUCUUGAUCUCUGCCUUCUUAAACAUGCGAUAUCUUCCCCGGGAUUUGUUACUUAUUCCACGGGGGUCGGAAAGGAGACCAACAUCUAAAAUAACAACACAAGCUACAGUACAUAAAUACACUGGAGAGUCGAGUAGCAGAACUGGUACAGAUGUAUCCGCACCAGUAUGUCUGCUCACAGAGGGAUGCCCACCUUGCCACGUCACAUCUUUUUUAUGAGUUUGUGCACACCAGCUUUACAUUUAGUGUCUGUUCGCAACUAGUAGAAAAGAAUGUAAAGAUAUGAUGUGCCAGAUAUUUAUGAAACUGUUCCAUUGUUGUGAGUACACAUAAGCAGCACAUUUAAAAACCCUGCCUACUGCAGCGGGAGCGUGUUGGAGUGUAAAAAUAUACACUUUUUUUUUUAUUACACUAAAACUAUAACUCAUGAGAUAGCCAUUUUGAUAUUUUUGUAAUUUAAAGGUCCCGUGAAAUUAAAAUUAAGUUUUUUAGAUGUUAGUUUCAGUUUGUUAAUUUUAAAGGAUAUCUAUGAGCUAGCGUGUCCCAAAACAGUGACAAAAUUCGUGUUUAGAACAUAUAAACAUCCAAAGUUUGUAGUUUGUCACUUCCGCCUGAAUCGUCAAGGAUUUUUUCACAUCACCUCAUACUUCAGUUUUUCAUCAAAUCUGGCCAAUCAAAUGCUCUGUAGCAUCGGUCAUGCCUACCCCCUUCAAGACGCUUCUCAUUUGAUUUAAUGCACUUUCUGGGAGAGCUGUCAUAAAAACAAAAUGAUAUUUUUUUUGGCGCUUUUUUCUUGAAAGAGGAGAAGCUACUUUUUGCCCAUUCUUCAUUUUUCAGUUGUAAUUACAUCAAACACAGAAUAAAAAUGCACAUUUCAAAGCACUUUACGGGACUUUUAAUAACUUUAAAUGAAAUUUUAUUUAUUUAAUUACAGUACCCCGACUGUGUGUAUAUUUAUUUUAUACAUAGUUAUUUUGAUAAAGUUUUAAAACGCAAAAAAGUUCUGAGUAUUUCUACCUUCAAUGGCAAUGACAGUCACAUUGACCGCAUGCAUUUCAGCAUCUGCUACUUUUACCAUUGUAUGUGUGCUUCUGUUGCCUAGCAACUUUCUGCUAACAAAAAUAUUACUUUCUGAUAGCAAAAACAAAACUUUACUUUAGACAUGUCUUGCAAACAUUUUAAAACAACGUUUUCACCGGAGUGAAAAAUCUUUGCUUUCCUGCUUGCCAGACAAUGUAAGGUACACACCUUCAGGGGGGUCAAGCAACUUGUGCACAGUUUUAGAUAGGUAUAUUGACCAUACAAUAUGAUGACAGAUAUUCAAAGCUUAGUUCUAAGAUUUCAAUAGAAGCUUCAAAUGUAAAUUACAAAAAAAAAGAAAAAUAAUAAUAAUAAAUAAAUAAAUAAAAAAUAAAAUAAUAAUAAAUAAAUAAAUAAAUUUGGUACAGUCUUUUAUGAAUGGUCAUGUAUACUGCAUAUAUAUGAAUUGUAUAUGACUGGUAUGAAUGGUAAUUCCAGUGUUUAAGCGGAUAAAAUACUGACAGUAUACUAGUAGAUUGCAAAAAGUAGAUCACUAUUGAAUGACACAAAAAUUAAAACUCAUUAUUUAUUCUUUUUGUUCAAACCCCUAUUUAACUGACUUGUUAUCAAUUAUAUGGAUUACAUUUCAGAAUAACAUUUUAUAGAAGGAUAAAAGACAUUAAUCAAUGAUGUAAUUUAUCAUUUUUAAUUAUCGAUUUGUGUGGGUGUGACAAAUGAUCCACUACCAGCCGCAUUUAUUUGAUCAUAAUACAUCACUAAGCAGUGGUGUUGUGAAAUGUAGUUACACUGUAAAAUAAUGUUUUAUAUUUGAAUAUAUGUUAGAAAUUAUUAAUUAUUAAAUGACUAAUUUAUCAAUAAUAUUGAAUUUCCAGCAUUAUUAAUCAAUUUUAAAUGAUCUUUGAUGAGACAUUAUGCUAUUAUGCUGAUUUGAGGCUGAAAAAAAAUCCUAAAAUCAUCAACGCUAAAUGAUUAUUUCACCCAAAACCCAACAAAUAAUUUACUCACACUUCACGUUUUACAAAUUUCUUUCUUCUGUUAAACAAUAGAGGACAUUUUAAAAAUAGAAUUUUGAUGUCAGAAACUGGUUACCAUUGGCUUCCUUAGUAUUUGUUUUUCCUAUGGAUGUCAAUUGGUUACCAGUUUAUAAGAUUCUUCAAAUAUCUUUUGUGUGUGUUAAACAGAAGAAAAUGUUUUGAAACCACUUGAAGAUGAGAAAAUAGUCAGUCAAAUUUCAUUUGUUUUGUUAAACUCUCUUUUUAAAAACAGUAUAUAUAUAUUCAUAUUUUUUUAUGUGGAAACUGUGGCAGUGUAUAUCUGUUGUAUAUCUGUGUAUAUCUGUUGUUUUUGAAUUUUUACAUAUCAACCUCAAUCCAUUUACUGAACACAGUAAAACACUUUGUGAAGUACUUCAA
ensembl:antisense